AUUGAACGCUGGCGGCAUGCUUUACACAUGCAAGUCGGACGAGUGGCGAACGGGUGAGUAAUAUAUUGGAACGUACCGCGUAAUGGGGGAUAACCAAUCGAAAGCUUGGCUAAUACCGCAUAUUAUUCGAGUGGCCAAUAUCUGAUUAGCUAGUUGGUGGGGUAAAGGCCUACCAAGGCGACGAUCAGUAGCGGGUCUGAGAUGAUGAUCCGCCACACGGGGACUGAGACGCGGCCCAGACUCCCAGGGGGGGGAGCAGGGGGGAAUUUUGGAAAAGGGGCGCAAGCCUGAUCCAGCCAUGCCGCGUGUCUGAAGAAGGCCUGCGGGGUGUAAAGGACUUUUGUUAGGGAAGCGGUACCGAAAGAAUAAGCACGGGCUAACUACGGGCCAGCCGCCGCGUAAUAC
rnacentral:rRNA from 1 species